AACCCCAAUUAAUAGAACUACGGCGUAAAACGUGUUUAAGAGUCCCAAACAAUAAAGCCAAACUCUAGCUACGCUGUAAAAAGCCACAGCUACUGUAAGAUCUAAUACGAAAGUAACUUUAAAUUAUCUGAACACACGAUAGCUAAGAUCCAAACUGGGAUUAGAUACCCCACUAUGCUUAGCCCUAAACCUAAAGAGUUAACACAACAAAACUCUUCGCCAGAGUACUACUAGCCAAAGCUUAAAACUCAAAGGACUUGGCGGUGCUUUAUAUCCUUCUAGAGGAGCCUGUUCUAUAAUCGAUAAACCCCGAUAAACCUCACCAAUCCUUGUUAAAU
rnacentral:rRNA from 1 species